UGAAUACUCCCUCCGUCCGAAAAUAUUUGUCAGAGAAAUGGAUGUAUCUAGUCGUAUUUUAGUUCUAGACACAUCAAUUUUUACCCAUUUCUCUGACAAGUAUUUUCGGACGGAGGGGGUAUUUU
rnacentral:pre_miRNA from 1 species